rnacentral:rRNA from 1 species
GACGAACGCUGGCGGCGUGCUUAACACAUGCAAGUCGAACGGAAAGGCCCUGCUUUUGUGGGGUUCUCGAGUGGCGAACGGGUGAGUAACACGUGAGUAACCUGCCCUUGACUUUGGGAUAACUUCAGGAAACUGGGGCUAAUACCGGAUAGGAGCUCCUGCUGCAUGGUGGGGGUUGGAAAGUUUCGGCGGUUGGGGCUGGACUCGCGGCUUAUCAGCUUGUUGGUGGGGUAGUGGCUUACCAAGGCUUUGACGGGUAGCCGGCCUGAGAGGGUGACCGGCCACAAUAGGACUGAGAUACGGCGCAGACGCCUACGGGAGGCAGCAGUGGGGAAUAUUGCACAAUGGGCGGAAGCCUGAUGCAGCAACGCCGGGUGCGGGAUGACGGCCUUCGGGUUGUAAACCGCUUUCGCCUGUGACGAAGCGUGAGUGACGGUAAUGGGUAAAGAAGCACCGGCUAACUACGUG